rnacentral:rRNA from 1 species
CAAAGGUUAAUUCCGGUGGCGGAUGGGCAUGCGUCGCAUUAGUUAGUUGGCGGUGUAACAGACCACCAAGACGACGAUGCGUAGGGGUUCUGAGAGGAAGGUCCCCCACACUGGUACUGAGACACGGACCAGACUCCUACGGGAGGCAGCAGUGAGGAAUAUUGGUCAAUGGGCGGGAGCCUGAACCAGCCAAGUCGCGUGAGGGAUGACGGCCCUAUGGGUUGUAAACCUCUUUUGCCGGGGAGCAAAGUGCCGCACGUGUGCGGUUUGGAGAGUACCCGGAGAAAAAGCAUCGGCUAACUCCGUGCCAGCAGCCGCGGUAAUACGGAGGAUGCGAGCGUUAUCCGGAUUUAUUGGGUUUAAAGGGUGCGUAGGCGGACGCUUAAGUCAGCGGUAAAAUUGCGGGGCUCAACCUCGUCGAGCCGUUGAAACUGGGUGCCUUGAGUGGGCGAGAAGUACGCGGAAUGCGUGGUGUAGCGGUGAAAUGCAUAGAUAUCACGCAGAACUCCGAUUGCGAAGGCAGCGUACCGGCGCCCAACUGACGCUGAAGCACGAAGGCGUGGGUAUCGAACAGGAUUAGAUACCCUGGUAGUCCACGCAGUAAACGAUGAAUGCUAGUUGUCCGGGGCGAUUGAGUUCUGG